rnacentral:lncRNA from 1 species
CUAACUGCCACCAAGGCUUCACCCCGGCCCAAGCUUACCCCAAACCCAGACACUUGGGAUUAUAUAGAGAUUCAAGAGCAGUCAAGGAUGCCAGGGAAUCCAGUCAGGCAUGUCUCCCCUCCCCAUUUUGCUUUUAUUUAUGUUCACAGAACCAACGGGUUAAAAAAAAAACGCUGAGUUUCUGGAUCCAGUUCCGGCUUUUUGAAGGAUACCCUCAUCCCCUGAUUCUGCUCACGACACAAUGCCCACAGGGUUCAGGAGCAACCACAGGUAUCCCCAAAGAUCCUGACCUGAGAAUAAAUACCUCCACAAUACUAAACCAGUUUCAGAGUGCCGGUCCUCGAACACUACCUUCUGGAGGAAUCUGCCUCAUUGACAGGUGCUGCGGUCCUCAUCCGUCAUUUCUUUACCAUCUGACUCUGACCACAGGUAAUUGGGCCAGAAGUGACAUUUGACCUACUGGGGAGACCAUCCAUAAACCGUCCAGCAACCUCUAUCUUAUAUGAUCUGGCUUUAAAAAAUGAGCCAGACCAGUCUGGUUCCUCUCUUGAGAAUUCAAACUAAAAGCCUGCCAAGGAAAUUGUCAGAUGGCGGCGGGAGCGGCACUACCAUUGAAAAUCCAAACCGAACUGAGACGAGGGUGGCCAUUACGGCCCAUGUGCAAGGCAAAUGCAGAUCUACACCAGGGCUGGAAGUGUGGCCAGUGAGGAUGAUCUGAAUUUGAGCCCUGCUCCCCCUGGGCUGGAUGCCUUUUUGCAGUGGACUGCCUGCCAGAUGGUAUGUGGCUACUCUGUCCUCUAGGUAAGAAAGGCCCUACCUUAAAAGCUGCAACAACAGAGACUUCCCAGACUCAGAGAGUGGCAGUGCUAGGAGAAGGGAAGGGAGGGUGGCAGUGGUUAGAGAUGCCCCUGAAAAUCCUGGGAGCUAUCUAUGCUCUCUAACCAAAAAGUACCCCUACACACAUGCACACACAGACACACGAUGAAACACACACCCAGACACACACACACACACACACACACAAUUUAGCCUCCUUCCUGGGAGUGGCAGGCCCUCCAUUACUGUCACUCCCAGCCUGAGUCCUCGAUGGAAUCCA